GACGAACGCUGGCGGCGUGCCUAAUACAUGCAAGUAGAACGCUGAAGAGAAGAGCUUGCUCUUCUUGGAUGAGUUGCGAACGGGUGAGUAACGCGUAGGUAACCUGCCUGGUAGCGGGGGAUAACUAUUGGAAACGAUAGCUAAUACCGCAUAAAAUUGAUUAUUGCAUGAUAAUUAAUUGAAAGAUGCAAUUGCAUCAC
rnacentral:rRNA from 1 species